rnacentral:rRNA from 1 species
AUUGAACGCUGGCGGCAGGCCUAACACAUGCAAGUCGAACGGUAACAGGAAGAAGCUUGCUUCUUUGCUGACGAGUGGCGGACGGGUGAGUAAUGUCUGGGAAACUGCCUGAUGGAGGGGGAUAACUACUGGAAACGGUAGCUAAUACUGCAUAACGUCGCAAAACCAAAGAGGGGGACCUUCGGGCCUCUUGCCAUCGGAUGUGCCCAGAUGGGAUUAGCUAGUAGGUGGGGUAACGGCUCACCUAGGCGACGAUCCGUAGCUGGUAUGAGAGUAUGGCCAGCCACACUGGAACUGAGACACGGUCCAGACUCCAAGGGGAGGCGGCAGUGGGAAAUAUUGCACAAUGGGCGCAAGCCUGAUGCAGCCAUGCCGCGUGUAUGAAGAAGGUCUUCGGGUUGUAAAGUACUUUCAGCGGGGAGGAAGGGAGUAAAGUUAAUAACUUUACUCAUUGACGUUACCCGCAGAAGAAGCGCCGUCUAACUCCGUG